UCUCUCUCGCUCUCAAAAAUAAUAUUUUUAAAUUUUAUUAAAAAAAAAAACGUAGAGACUAGAACAAAUUCUGUAGAACAGACCAUGGCAGUUAGAAUCAGUGUGUGAGUUAAUACAUACCGCAUACAGUUAGUCUUAGAUUUGUGUGAAGUCUUAGAUUUGUGAAGAAGCAAUCUACUCCUAUUGGUGAAAUGGCCUGUAACUAUUAUUGUUUCCAUCUGUGUAGACAAUAUUUCUAAGAUCUGUGAAGAUCAGAAAGGUGUUCUAACCUGGGAAGGAAGUGAAAGAACUAGCUAAGGGGCCCAUAGGAAUGCUCAUUGCCUCUGUGCCCCAUUCCAGGGGACGGUCGUCAUGGCAACCCAACCACAACUUGCUCCUGGUGGACACUGCAAACCCAGUGUUGGUGCAGAGAAUGUUUCACUAGGAUUCCACCCAUCCAUGAAAUGAAGGUCCAGUUAGGAAAGCCACAUCAGUGCCCUGCCUGUUCCACACAGCCUGUUAGGUCUCCAAAACAGCAGUCUAUAACUUUCUGUGGCUCUGCCUUUGAUCCUGACCAGGAAUUGCUGUAAAAGUUCAUGAUGCAGCUUCAAUUGAAUCUUAUUCAACUAUUAGUUGUCCUGAAAAUAGGCCACUAUCAAUAUCACAGAGGAUGGAUCAAAGGAAAGGAAAUGCGGCAAAUACCACUAAAUGAUCGCAGCCCUCUUUCUGGGACCUCUCAAGGCUCUGCAAGACAGCAUAUCUUGAGUGGUUUCUGCCAAAAGCACAGCGUCAUGGAGAGCUGGCAAAUGUUCUUUAUCAUCCCUGAAUUGAGAGUUCGAUACGGGCAGAUACUUUAUCUGUUGAUAUUGUUCACAGUUGUAUCUCUAGCAUGAAGCACUGGUGCCUGGCACAUAAUAAAAAAAAAAAAAUCUAGCAAUAUUGUAAAUUUUUUUUAAGUUUAUUUACUUUUGAGAGAUAGAGUGAGCAUGAGCGGGGAGGGGCAGA